UGGGAAAUAAUGCAUUGUAUAUGCCUCUCUUAGAGACUUGGAAAAGAAAACUGUAAAACUUUGUAUGACUUCAUGUAACUCAGCGUUUCCCAAACACAUCUGAUCAUAGAACCCCAUGUAUCUUGUAAUAUCUAUUAGAAGUGUUCCAUGAAACAUACUUUGAGAAACACAGAAUUCUGUUCUGUGAAUACAUUUCUGGAGGACUGGGUUGUGGAAAGAAAAGAACGUCCAGUUCAAGCUUUAGAAGAGAAUAAAGAGGCAGCAUCUAUCUGCCAUCUUCAGACUGCAGCGAUUCCGCUUUCUAGCCUACUACAAAGAAAAGUGUCCCCCACAUGUCAUACUGUCAUUCUAACCUUAAAAAUGUCAUAGGUGACAGAGAAACAAAUAACUUUUACUCUUAAGACAUUCAUCCUUAGCGUAUUGAAUGGAUGCUUAAUAGGAGGGCUUCUGGGAAAUACACUUUCUUCCAGCUCAAUGAGAUAACGUACAAGUUUAUCAAUAAUGAUGGAAACCUCCUCACAUGAAGACGAAGGUGAUUUGGAAGAUUGGGAACGAUUUCUGAAACACACACUUAAAUUUUUAUAGGAACAAAUGGCACAAGAUACGAAUUUUAAAAGCAUUUUUGCCUAAAAUACAGAAUCUGAUUCUAAUCAUAAGGAAACAUCAGUCAAACCCAAAUUGAGGGACAUUCUACAAAAUCAUAGCCCUGUGUUCUUCAAACAUGUCAAUGCCACAAAAACACAGAAAGGUUGUGAAACCAUUACAGAUGAAAUCAGACAAAAGAGACACAAAAGCUAGAUGAAAUACAUAAACCUGGCCUGAAUCCAGGACCAGAAACAAAACGGAAAUAAAGAACAAUUAAUGGUGGCCUGGAUCAGCCCAUCGGGAGGGAUGAAACCCAUGAAAGCCUCCAGAGACAAGCCUUUCUCCAGCCCUGGUCUCAGCCUCUCCCUCCCCUCCUGGGAGUGAACAGGGUGAGGGAGGGCACAAUUUAUGAAAUUUAAAUAAAGUCUGUAGAUUAGAGAA